rnacentral:rRNA from 1 species
AGUGAACGCUGGCGGUAGGCCUAACACAUGCAAGUCGAACGGCAGCACAGUAAGAGCUUGCCCUUACGGGUGGCGAGUGGCGGACGGGUGAGGAAUACAUCGGAAUCUACUUUUUCGUGGGGGAUAACGUAGGGAAACUCACGCUAAUACCGCAUACGACCUACGGGUGAAAGCAGGGGAUCUUCGGACCUUGCGCGAUUGAAUGAGCCGAUGUCGGAUUAGCUAGUUGGCGGGGUAAAGGCCCACCAAGGCGACGAUCCGUAGCUGGUCUGAGAGGAUGAUCAGCCACACUGGAACUGAGACACGGUCCAGACUCCUACGGGAGGCAGCAGUGGGGAAUAUUGGACAAUGGGCGAAAGCUUGAUCCAGCCAUGCCGCGUGGGUGAAGAAGGCCUUCGGGUUGUAAAGCCCUUUUGUUAGGAAAGAAAAGCUGCAGAUUAAUACCCGGCUGUUCUGACGGUACCCAAAGAAUAAGCACCGGCUAACUUCGUG